UACGAAGGGGGCUAGCGUUGCUCGGAAUUACUGGGCGUAAAGGGUGCGCAGGCGGUUAUAUAAGACAGAUGUGAAAUCCCCGGGCUCAACCUGGGAACUGCGUUUGUGACUGUAUGACUAGAGUACGGUAGAGAGGGGUGGAAUUCCUGGUGUAGCAGUGAAAUGCGUAGAUAUCAGGAGGAACAUCGAUGGCGAAGGCAGCCCCUUGGACCUGUACUGACGCUCAUGGCACGAAAGCGUGGGGAGCAAACAGG
rnacentral:rRNA from 1 species